rnacentral:rRNA from 1 species
UACGUAGGGUGCAAGCGUUAAUCGGAAUUACUGGGCGUAAAGCGUGCGCAGGCGGUUGUGCAAGACAGAUGUGAAAUCCCCGGGCUUAACCUGGGAACUGCAUUUGUGACUGCACAGCUGGAGUGCGGCAGAGGGGGAUGGAAUUCCGCGUGUAGCAGUGAAAUGCGUAGAUAUGCGGAGGAACACCGAUGGCGAAGGCAAUCCCCUGGGCCUGCAUUGACGCUCAUGCACGAAAGCGUGGGGAGCAAACAGG